rnacentral:rRNA from 1 species
GACGAACGCUGGCGGCGCGCUUAACACAUGCAAGUCGAACGGAAAGGCCCUGCUUUUGUGGGGUGCUCGAGUGGCGAACGGGUGAGUAACACGUGAGUAACCUGCCCUUGACUUUGGGAUAACUUCAGGAAACUGGGGCUAAUACCGGAUAGGAGCUCCUGCUGCAUGGUGGGGGUUGGAAAGUUUCGGCGGUUGGGGAUGGACUCGCGGCUUAUCAGCUUGUUGGUGGGGUAGUGGCUUACCAAGGCUUUGACGGGUAGCCGGCCUGAGAGGGUGACCGGCCACAUUGGGACUGAGAUACGGCCCAGACUCCUACGGGAGGCAGCAGUGGGGAACAUUGCACAAUGGGCGGAAGCCUGAUGCAGCAACGCCGCGUGCGGGAUGACGGCCUUCGGGUUGUAAACCGCUUUCGCCUGUGACGAAGCGUGAGUGACGGUAAUGGGUAAAGAAGCACCGGCUAACUACGUGCCAGCAGCCGCGGUGAUACGUAGGGUGCGAGCGUUGUCCGGAUUUAUUGGGCGUAAAGGGCUCGUAGGUGGUUGAUCGCGUCGGAAGUGUAAUCUUGGGGCUUAACCCUGAGCGUGCUUUCGAUACGGGUUGACUUGAGGAAGGUAGGGGAGAAUGGAAUUCCUGGUGGAGCGGUGGAAUGCGCAGAUAUCAGGAGGAACACCAGUGGCGAAGGCGGUUCUCUGGGCCUUUCCUGACGCUGAGGAGCGAAAGCGUGGGGAGCGAACAGGCUUAGAUACCCUGGUAGUCCACGCUGUAAACGGUGGGUACUAGGUGUGGGGUCCAUUCCACGGGUUCCGUGCCGUAGCUAACGCUUUAAGUACCCCGCCUGGGGAGUACGGCCGCAAGGCUAAAACUCAAAGGAAUUGACGGGGCCCCGCACAAGCGGCGGAGCAUGCGGAUUAAUUCGAUGCAACGCGUAGAACCUUACCUGGGUUUGACAUGGAUCGGGAGUGCUCAGAGAUGGGUGUGCCUCUUUUGGGGUCGGUUCACAGGUGGUGCAUGGCUGUCGUCAGCUCGUGUCGUGAGAUGUUGGGUUAAGUCCCGCAACGAGCGCAACCCUUGUUCACUGUUGCCAGCACGUUAUGGUGGGGACUCAGUGGAGACCGCCGGGGUCAACUCGGAGGAAGGUGGGGAUGACGUCAAGUCAUCAUGCCCCUUAUGUCCAGGGCUUCACGCAUGCUACAAUGGCUGGUACAGAGAGUGGCGAGCCUGUGAGGGUGAGCGAAUCUCGGAAAGCCGGUCUCAGUUCGGAUUGGGGUCUGCAACUCGACCUCAUGAAGUCGGAGUCGCUAGUAAUCGCAGAUCAGCAACGCUGCGGUGAAUACGUUCUCGGG